rnacentral:rRNA from 1 species
UACGUAGGGUGCGAGCGUUGUCCGGAAUUACUGGGCGUAAAGAGCUUGUAGGUGGUUUGUCGCGUUGUUCGUGAAAUCUCACGGCUCAACUGUGAGCGUGCGGGCGAUACGGGCAGACUAGAGUACUGCAGGGGAGACUGGAAUUCCUGGUGUAGCGGUGGAAGUGCGCAGAUAUCAGGAGGAACACCGGUGGCGAAGGCGGGUCUCUGGGCAGUAACUGACGCUGGAGAAGCGAAAGCCGUGGGGAGCAAACAGG